rfam:Ovis aries breed Texel chromosome 3, whole genome shotgun sequence.
UCCCUGGUGGCUCAGAUGGUAAAGCAUCUCCCUGGAAUGCAGGAGACUCAGGUUCGAUCCCUGGAUUGGGAA